ACAUUUCACAUGCUGGCUCUGCCCUCAACAACUCAAAGCACUAUUUCAAAAUUUCAAUAUCUUAAAUACUUUUUUGACACACUUUUCUAAUUAUCAAGAACACAAGAAUCAUUUUCACUUCACCAGAUGCUCAGGGAAGACGUUGAUGACCCUGGAAACUGAAGGAAGAAGAUGCAUCUAGCUGACUUCCCCAGGUGGGGGAGUACAGCACAGAAAGCUUAUAAAUUACCAUUGCUGGCAAAACAACCAACUGUCCUGGCUGUAUCUAGAAAAGUUGUAUUCUAGCACAUGAAAAUGUUUGCUCUUUCUCCUGUUCAACACUCUCCAGAAGGACUACCUGCCUCUUUGUCUUCAAGAGAUGAGGGAUUGCUCUCAUGCCUCUCAAAUCCUACUGAGCAGCAAGAUGACUGUCUUCAACUCCACUAGGACUUGUAAGCCUCGCUCUGCUCCUAGGACUCUCUCCUGCGUCCCUUGGGAUUUCUUUCCUCAGCAGAAGCUCCUGAUUCCCAACCUUCUAGGGGUGAAGGGCUGCACUCUGGUCAACUGAGAAGGCAAGGCCCUGCAUUUCAGUUGUGAUUGUGCUAAGAUAUAAGUGCAGGGACUAAAGGAGCCGAGGCGUUGUGAAAGCUAACCUUAUGAGCAAAGGAGCCUGUAGCAGUGUGUACCUCUCCUGAUUCACACCAAGAGUUCUCAGCUAAAUAGCAGCCUUUCUGUCAGAGUGAAAAACAAAGCCUUCUCACAGUGCUUGCAUUUGUGAUACAUCUGUUGUAAGUGGCUUUCUUAGCAUCAGAAAGCAUUUUAAUUGUAGUAAACUGAACAAUGCAGAAAUUGUUUGAAGAGGAGAUUAAAUUUAAUGAAAUUCACAAACAACCCCUUUUAGAAAGUAACAACAAUUUUUGAACAUUAAAGAGGAGCUCAUUAUAUCAAGACAGCUCCACUGUGAAAAGCGGUCUGACUUCAGUCACCACAUAUCCACAUGUUAAUGAACUUCUGUGUAAAAGCCAGCACCGAAGAGGGAAGUAAUAGGAACACUAUCUCCAUGAGUGUUUGCGAGAGGAAAAAUCUCCUUUAAUCAAUAAAACACCUUCUCACGUGCACCUCAAUACUGACUGGGACUCUUUCAAAGGACACAGAAGGAAGCUGCUGCUAGAAAGUUCCUUUAAGACAUUACACAGCUUGCACUUUCUUCAGGGUUCACAUGCUGCCAGCAACCCAGCUCCGAAGACUUUCAAGUUCCAACAGACACAGCCUAGUACAGUCUUCAUCACCAUAAUUUCAGUGCUGCCCCUGAUCAAACAGACAAAUCUGAAACUGAAGACUAAGAGGCAACCAGUGACCUUUGAUUAGGACCAUGAGCCUCCAUUGUAAUAUAAUGCCUCAUUCAUUGCUCUCUGGGACCAACAAGGAAGUAUGUUACUGACUGAAAGGAUGUCACUAGCAGGCUUAUUCCUCACAAUGAUUUCCAUCAUUAACUGUUAAAUUUUUCAUUUGCAGCAAGUGGCACCAGGUGUUUAAAAAACAAAAAUCAAAAAACCAAAGACAUAGAAAAUCAGUUUCCUACCUUGCAAAUGAAUGAAUCAUUUUACCCCAGCUCUCAUUUACCUGUUACUGACUUUCAGGCCUUAUUAACUGCAUUGUGCUAAUCUUUCAAAACUGUAAUUUGAACAAUAUUGGUUUGUUGCUACUACUUAGAAUCUAAGCAUAUACAAGAAACCAUUCUCUAUACCAAGCUUACAGAAAUGCAGUCCCUAUUUCUUCUAUGAGUUGAAUCUCUCACAUUUAAGUCCUAGCACAUUUGAAGUUAAUGUAUAUGAUGUAAGUACCAUCUUCUCCAGGCAAAGAGGAUUGAACCAUUAUAGAAAGAGCUUAGCUUUUACCGUCAGACAAACUCGGGUUCAGAUCCCAGAUCUGACAUAGCCAGUCUGAAGCCUCUGCUAAGAUCCUCUGGAAGCCACAGAUUCCUGGCACUGCAGGACUGAGGCUAAGCUCCUCUGGAGAGAUGCUUUCUGAGGGGAAAGGUCACCUGGAGUUCAUGUCAAUAAAAAGUUUAAGGGGAAUAGAGAGAAAUCAAAGGAUUUCCAAUACCACAACCCAAUCUCAGACAGACAACUCCACUCAAGCCUCCUGGAUCUAGGAAGCAAGGUACCGUCAGUAGCCCAGUCAGGAUUCCCCUGGGUCUCCCUGGGAAUGAGCUUACAGGUCCAAUGCUAAAGCUUGGUGGGCAACUGCUGCCUCCUGAAACUCCUGGAGCUCCUGCUCUUGCCUCUUCAGUUACAGGUCUGAGCCCAAGAAAUCACACAUCUAGAUUCACUGAGACCUGUGUCAGUUCCUCUUCACAAGCCAUGACACUGAAAAGAGACAAGGCUGACCUUGUAAUAAAGGAAUUUUAGCUCC
ensembl:antisense Gm45025 predicted gene 45025